rnacentral:rRNA from 1 species
AGCGAACGCUGGCGGCAGGCCUAAAACAUGCAAGUCGAACGGACCCUUCGGGUUAGUGGCGGACGGGUGAGUAACACGUGGGAACGUGCCCUUUGGUUCAGAACAACUCAGGGAAACUUGAGCUAAUACUGAAUAAGCCCUACGGGGAAAGGAUUUAUCGCCAUUGGAGCGGCCCGCGUUGGAUUAGCUAGUUGGUGAGGUAAAGGCUCACCAAGGCUACGAUCCAUAGCUGGUCUGAGAGGAUGAUCAGCCACACUGGGACUGAGACACGGCCCAGACUCCUACGGGAGGCAGCAGUUAGGAAUCUUGCGCAAUGGGGCGAAAAGCCUGACGCAGCCAUGCCGCGUGAAUGAUGAAGGUCUUAGGAUUGUAAAAUUACUUUUCAGCGGGGAAGAAUAAUGACUGUACCCGCAGAAGAAGCUCCGCUAACUACGUGCCAGCCGCCGCAGUAAC